CCCAGCUCCUCUGUUUCCAGCGGAACAAAUCCUAUUCCGUGAUCAUCUCCCAGCGUCUUCAUCGUCCGCUUUCUUCCUCCGAGAUCUGCUCACACAUCCCUUCCAUCAGCCGCAUGGAUCCGAUUCCCUUCUCCCAGCUAGCAGCUAACGGAUUAGAAGCUCCCAUCUGCUUCAUCCUCCCGAACUCCACAUCAUCCCUCUUCCGAACCGUAUCCAACUUCCUCCCAGCUUCCGCUAGAUCCCAUUCGUGAUGACAACCACCCACGGAUAGCUCCUUCCGAACUCCCCUGCAUUCACGGGAUCCAAACAGAGUCAUCCUCAUCCCGCUAUCAGCCGUGUCC
rnacentral:lncRNA from 1 species